GACAGAGGGUGCGAACGUUGUUCGGAAUUACUGGGCGUAAAGCGCAUGUAGGCGGCAGCGCAAGUCGGGCGUGAAAUCCCACGGCUCAACCGUGGAAGUGCACUCGAAACUGCGCAGCUAGAGUCCUGGAGAGGAAGGUGGAAUGCUUGGUGUAGAGGUGAAAUUCGUAGAUAUCAAGCGGAACACCGGUGGCGAAGGCGGCCUGCUGGGCAGUAGCUGACGCUGAUGCGCGACAGCGUGGGGAGCAAACAGG
rnacentral:rRNA from 1 species